rnacentral:rRNA from 1 species
AGCGAACGCUGGCGGCAGGCUUAAUACAUGCAAGUCGAGCGCCCGUAGCAAUACGGGAGCGGCAGACGGGUGAGUAACGCGUGGGAACGUACCCUUUGGUUCGGAACAACACAGGGAAACUUGUGCUAAUACCGGAUAAGCCCUUACGGGGAAAGAUUUAUCGCCGAAGGAUCGGCCCGCGUCUGAUUAGCUAGUUGGUGAGGUAACGGCUCACCAAGGCGACGAUCAGUAGCUGGCUGAGAGGAUGAUCAGCCACACUGGGACUGAGACACGGCCCAGACUCCUACGGGAGGCAGCAGUAGGGAAUAUUGGACAAUGGGGCAACCCUGAUCCAGCCAUGCCGCGUGAGUGAUGAAGGCCUUAGGGUUGUAAAGCUCUUUUGUGCGGGAAGAUAAUGACGGUACCGCAAGAAUAAGCCCCGGCUAACUUCGUGCCAGCCGCCGCGGU